rnacentral:lncRNA from 1 species
GUGGUGACCUGGGAAUCAAUGUGUGAGGUGGUGCUAUGUAGCAGGAACCCCUCUUGCUUUGCAAAUAGUUUUUUGUUUGUUUUCCUUUUUGCCCAAUAGAGCCCUGCUCUACUGACCCUUCAAUGUGCCCGUGUGCCUAAAUAUUCCUGGUCGUGUGAAAAGAACCCAGGUAUUAGCUGAACUAAGGAGCACAAUUCUGCAACAUUUUGGCACCCAAACACGGGGCUUGAGAAAUGAAUGCAAUUGGAGAAACUGGUUGUUUUACCAGGCGUUGAUUGGAAAUGUGUGCUUCCCUUUAAGCAGUCAAGCUCAACUUGCAGAACUGAUGGGAACCCCUUGGGAAAACUGGCCUCAAAUGUUUGUCUACACAGUCCACAUACAGGGUUCUUAACCUGCGGUGAGUAAAGAAUGUCACUUUCCAACAGGCCCAGAUAUCAUAUGCUCUUGGGACCUCAAGAAGAGAGGAGUUUACCCAAUUCAUAGGUGUGUGAGGAUAAAAACCUAGGGCUGGGCUCAGCUUUAAAUGGUCUUAUCUGAGAUUCUUUGUGAAACAGAUUUUCAUGAAAGCCAAUCUAGAGGGCCUACGUAGAAAUAAUUGUUUUUGCUGCACUUUAUGCACAUAAUCAAGCCAAUUAUAAGACUAAAGUCUAUAUUGCAAGCAACACACUCCUAUUAUGAUUUGUUUUUAACAGAAAUGAGGACGAGACAGAGAGAAAUUAUGUUUCAAAACUUAUCAUCAUUAGUUUCUAGACUUAUUAUUUCUUUUUAAGUUUUUACCUACAUUUUAGACUGACCCUGCUUGUGCCUGUGAACCAACCAACAAUCUCUGGCUGCAGCUCAGAAAGGACAAAAGAGAAUGGAUGAGGGAAACUUCCCAGGGCUUGUCUGGGUAUGCCCACAGUGGACUGGAGCCCAAAAUGCACACUGGAGGAAGUGGAUGGAGCCACGUGGAUGUCAUGCCUUAUGCAGGGGAGGAGCCUGCUCUCUUCAGCUCCUGUGGUAAUGUGGGAAUCGAUCUGUGAGGAAACACUUUCUGAAAAUGUCAGAACUCUUGAAAACAUGGAUGAGGAAAAGCAUAAGUACUGCUUUAUGCUUUUCUUAUGAAUUUUAAAAGAUGUAAUUUAAAGGUACUUUAAAGUGAUAUUUGUGCCCUUGUAACUGAUUCAAAGUAGACUGCUAAGGACAAUAAGUAAUAAGAGUCUACAAAUAUCAGUAAAUUAUGAGAAAAAACGGUCUAAUGGUACUUAAAAUUGCAUUGUGAUUUAUUAAAUAACAUUGAACAGC